AAACAAAGCAGGUAAAGCACUUAGCCCACAAGAAGCAAGUGGACAAUCAAUGUUAGUCAUCAUAAGACUAAAAAUUAACUUAAGCAUCAAGGUAUGCAAACUAUGGAAUAUAGGCAGUAGGCACCCACUCACUUAAGAACUAUUGAUAUUGCACUUACUAUGUGCCAGGCACAGAUCAACACACUUCAUUUUUUUAAAAUCCUUUUAUUAGUUCUCCCAGCAACUUCAGGAGACAGGUACUAUUACUUUGCCCUACUUUAAAUAUGAGGAAGCAGAGGCACACAAUUACCAAGCUGCACAUCCGAGAUUCAAUCUCAGGUUCCCUUGACGAUGCUCUUCCAGUGCUGUCCAAUGGAACUUUCCGCAAUAAUGGAACUCCUCUGUCUGUGCUGUUGACACUAGCUACUGGGCACGCAGGGCAACUGAGUCCUUGAAAUGUGACUGGAUUUCCAAGCAGAAUGUUCAUAUCUUUUUCUGUACGUAGACUGACUCAGCCUUGCCACAAUUUUGUGGGCGAAGUGGGCUUGAACAAGGAACACGAAGUCCCAGUUGUCACAGAGAGCCAUCUUGCUCCCCUGAGGAGAACUGGUCUUAAGAUCAAGAGUGACAGAGCAGAGCUACUGAAAGAACCUGAAUUUUCGAUACCUCCAUUGAACUGCUGUUCAUUAUCGCUGGAGCCCACUUUACCCUUUGGAUUGCCAGAAAUGGAAGAAAAUAAAUGUCCUUUUUGUUUGUCUAUUUAAACGGAGCUUUUCUGUAAUACACAGCCAAAAGCUCUCAAGUGUAACUUACUUAAACUCUUAAAAAUAGCAUUGUGUAUUUACUUUAUUCUUUCCUCACAACUUUGGGUGGCAUACUUCUAAUACAUUUGAGAAUACAGAGGCCAACUAAGGACAAAUUAUGUACCAAAUAUAAUCUAACCAUGUUAUGACUAGAACUUCCACAGCCUAACAUACCAACAACAUAUGAUAGUCCCUUAAGAUAAUUCAGACAGAUCAAAACAGUAGCUUAAGUAUUUAAACCAUUCUGUGACCUCUGCCAGGUUACUCAUUCUCGCUAGGCCUGAAUUUCACAUCUGUAAGAUAAGGAUAAUAAUAUCUACCUGAUGGACUUGUGGUGUAAACUGAAGAUCUAAACAUCUGAAACAUAGUAAGCUCUCAAUAAGUAUCUGCUCUGUGUGAAUUUCCCAGCACAUCCAGCUCACAGCUUUACAUAGUGGCUACUCAGUCAAUGUUUCCUGAACAAAAUAAAAUUGAGUACUAUAUCCAUGCUGUGAAAUAUGUGCUAUUAUAGAAGGAAUAAGUACAAUUAGUAGGACUUUUUUCAACUUUUGAUCCUUCUAAGCCUUUCAUUGCUUCCAGUUUUGCAUUGAUAUUUUUCCUAUCUUACUGCUCACUCCUAAACCAAAAUGGAAAAUUAGCACAUGAUUACAGUCUAUUUAAAUGUAUGAUAAGUCACAUUUAUAUACCAGUCUGGACUUGAUCAGGAAAACAAAGUCAAUAUCAACAUUAUGGAGAAAAUGGAUGGAAAUAGAAAUUAAGGCUACAUAAAUAUGAGAGGAUGCAGCACUGAAGGUUUUAGAAGAUGGUGGCCGGACAAUCUCUCAACUGGUGAGGGAGAAAAAGCCAUUUAUGCCUGGGAAGUUCAGGAAACUGCCACAACCAUGAAGUGGGACCUUGCAGAGAGGUCUAGAAACCACUUCCUCUGCCACAACCUAGAGAAAUCAUAAUCUGGGGAAGUCCAAGAAAGUGCCAGAACCACUAAGUGGAAGCUUGUGGAGAGGUCUAGAAGCCAGCCGCAUCUAACCAUCAGGACCUUCCCAGGAUAACCGCUUCCAUUUCACUUCCACCCUCCAAAUCUCACUCAAGUUCCUCUCAUUCACAAAUUUUAACCCAGAACCACACAAAGAGGGGGAUUCAUGGAAAUGUGGUUCUCUGCCUUAGAAGGGCCUGUUGGCGAUGGUACCAAGCUGAAAACAACCCAGCCAGCGCAGUCCUUACAAUACCCUUGUUAAUUCAUUAAUUCAGCAUCCAUCCCAUUACUAUUACCAUCUUUAACUUCCAAAUAAAAAUGAUGACAUCAUGCUUCCACUAAUGUGACUAUCCUUCACACAACCAAAGACAUGCUAACCAUUCAACAAGAGGAGACAGACAGACAGUCCACAUCACUGCUAAUUCUUUAAAAUACAAAGCUUGUCCAGAGGAAAUAUGAUACAAGGACUUCAGUGUAAGAAAAACUUAGGUUCAAAUCCUAGCUCUCCUAUUUGACCAGUGUGUGAUCUCCAGCAAAUUAUAUACCUUUCAGAGUCUUAACUUCUCCAGCUGAAAAACAAGAAAACAUAUUCUGUCUACUGCAAGUAUUAGCGACAUGAAAUGCCUGGCUCAUGGUAAGUGCACAGCAAGUAUUAGCUUUUAUCAAGAUUCAUUUUAAGUGGCUUGGAUCAAUUAACAUUUUUUGCUGAUGACAUUUCCUGAUGCUCAAUAAAUUGCUUUCAUACCCCAGCAUAUUUUUGCA